rnacentral:rRNA from 1 species
UACGAAGGGGGCUAGCGUUGCUCGGAAUCACUGGGCGUAAAGCGCACGUAGGCGGACUCUUAAGUCGGUGGUGAAAUCCUGGAGCUCAACUCCAGAACUGCCUUCGAUACUGAGAGUCUCGAGUCCGGGAGAGGUGAGUGGAACUGCGAGUGUAGAGGUGAAAUUCGUGGAUAUUCGCAAGAACACCAGUGGCGAAGGCGGCUCACUGGCCCGGUACUGACGCUGAGGUGCGAAAGCGUGGGGAGCAAACAGG